UCUUAUCAGAUGAGGAAUCAAUUUUAAUCUUCUCAUGGAAAGACAGAGCUCUCACUAGACCGACUGUUAAAGUGCAAGAAUAUAAGCUCAUCUCUCGGUCCCAGCUAGGAAAUGAUUUGAAAUUCCUAUCAUUUCCUGGGACCGAACGGCAGCUGCUAUAUUUUCCCCUUCACUCCUCCAACGAGAUACAAUGUCUGAAUUUGCAUUAAACAUCCAUAGGAAAAUAGUUUCAUGUGCUUAUGGUGUCACAACAAUGUUGUUUUUUUGCUUUUUGCCUCUUAAUAUUCACGCCGCAUAGACACGCGGUUGUUGAGGGUGACGCAGGAAAAGUGUAGAUUUGUCAACCAAGUUUGCAGGAGUUCCACCAACACUGUUCAGUGAAUGCACAGGAUUCGUGAUCUCCCAAAUCACACAUCCACACCUCAGAGCGGAUGUUACAAGGUCUGCGUGGAAAGUAACUACAUGAAGGGAGAUUCGGUGCCAUAUGAUGAAGGACCUAGUGAGCCGCAAAGUGAGAUUUCCUCUGAAUUGAAGGUGUUGAAUCGGGUCUUCCUGUGAAAUUACAUCCGCACUAAAUUUAAUCUAAUCAGCAAAACCAAGCCUCACAACAUGCAAAAUGCCUCAAAGCAAACCCAGUCUUCUCUCCAACUUCAAGCUCCAAAGAAGGGUAAACCCGAGUAGCAAAAUGUGUCUUUUUAAAUUCAAGGCUCCCAUAGCUAUUUCAGUCCUUCCUCGCUAUGAAACUAAAGCUUAAAUAGUAAUGUUAAUCUUAUUGGCGAAUGUGUAUCAACAUCAGCCACGGCUACAUAAUAUGCUCAAACGUAUUAAUCUCUGUCAAAGGUUAAAGCCUCCUAAUACGAAAUGGCAAGUCCAAGCUUACAGGGAAAACGUGUUUUAGAAACUGAGGAGAGUAACCUUCAGCUCCGCCUCAACCGCAUUGUUAUUGGACCGAUGUGGCGACCUUUUAUGUGCAUUUUCACGGAAAUGACAAAGGGGAAGGAUCCAAAAGAAGACCUGAUGACAUAUUUUGCUGGGAUUAAGAUGAAGGUCAACAAUAAAACUUUUGAUAAUACACAAAAGAAGAAAAUUGCAUCUGACCCAUCAUGUAGUUCUUUUGACAUCACCCUCUUGUUCCGGAUCAUACAAGUGUACUGUGAUAAAGCCAAAGACCAAACAGGUCAAGUCCGGAUAAUUCCAGAUGACGCUCUAUUGCUUCAUAUGAAAGAUAUCAAAGAACAAAGAAAUGAUAUAAUGCAUGGGAUUGUAGGGCUCAACAAAGUAAGGUUUGACAGCAUAGUUCAGUUGCUGCACGAUCUCCUGGAGAAAACUUGGGAGAAGAUUGAAGACGUAUUUGGCAUUGACGCCUCGAAGGAAGUCCAGAAAAUGGAAGAAGAUAUGAAGAUAAUCAAGGAAGCACCUUUGGAAGACUUGCGUGUUUAUUACACAGAAUUGCAAGCCUUAUUGGACACAGAAGGAGUUGAAAGCAUGAAAGAAAAUUAUAAGCAGUAUCUUUCAGAGGCUCCUGAUGUUCAUCUUCUGGAUGAAAGUCUAGCGACACGUCAGCAGACUAAAAUAUUGGAUGUCUUUACAGAAAUGCACAUACUUUAUGAACAUGGGAAAAAGGCUAUACAUUUUAGAGAAUGGCUUACAGAACUGGAAAAGGAACGAGCCACACAAAAUAAACUCAGUAAGUUCCUCCUUGUUGACGGAGUGGCCGGUGUUGGCAAGACAACUCUCAGCAGGAAAAUUGUUCUUGAUUGGAUCUAUAAGAAUAACACAAUGGACCUUCUAGAUGAUUUUCAAUUAUUGAUCUACAUGCAGUUUCGGGAGAGACACAUUAAAUCUUUGUCUGCACUAUGUUUAUCUGUUAUGCCAUAUAUGAGAGGUAAAGUAGAUCUGGAGAUGCUGAUGUCGCUAACGGAAGGCAGAGAUAUCAUCUUCGUAUGCGACGGUCUUGAUGAAAAAAAUGACGAGUCCCAGAACCUUUUCAAGGAGCUUCUAUGCUAUGGGGAAAAAAGGGCAAUCACUGUAGUGUGUACAACGCGCCCUGAAGAAAUUGACAGGUUAACUGUAAGUAGUCAGUAUGCUUACCUACGUAUUCAAGUAGUAGGAAUUUCUCAGAGAAACAGGAGUACCUUCAUAAAUAAAUAUUUCAAAUCUCGAAGACCUGACAAAGAUCCUCAGCCUUUACUUAAUUACUUGAAUAAAACAGCCAUUCGCCUUCAGGAGCACUGGAGAUUUCCAUAUAACCUCAUGUGCCUUGCCAUGCUGUGGAUUCUUGCGCCAACGAGGAUUAACACCUUGACAACAGCAACAGAGUUGUUUGAGGCCACUCUCGAUGAAAUUACAAAGAAGCUGAACAGCAGGCAACUCGACAAAGAUAUUUCAUCUGUGGACCUGGAAGACCUUAUGAAAACAUUUUAUCAUGUGGCUCUGAUUAACCAUGCAUUAGGUGAUAUAGUGCUAUCUGAUGAUUCAUUUCAGACACUGAAGAGCGAGUGUCUUCACAAAAAAUUGAAUUGGAGGACUGUUAUAAGUACAUUCCUUACCCAAAAUGUUUCAUGGUCAAGCAGUGGAGAAUCCUCAUUCAGUUUUCCACACAAAGGCUUGCAGGAUUUUUAUGCAGCCAAAAGUAUCCUAGAGAAACUAUAUGCUUGUACACCAGAUGAGGAGAAGGUAUUAUCUGGAGUGCAGAAGCUUCUCCAAGAAAGCAGUUAUUCACAAGAACACAGAAAAGAUAUUCUAAACAGUUUAAAUCCAUUACUGAGCUCGCAAAAUGACAGAACUAUUCGUGAAAUUUUGCAAACGAUAGGAAAGGAGGCUUCAUCUAGCUCUCAGAUGGAAGACAUUAUCAAAAGGUCACCCAAUGUCCUCACUCAUCUGGCAGGCAUUCUAAGUUACAGAGGUAAAGUUCUUGUAGAAAAGCAAGCAGAGGAGUUGGUCCAGCUGCUUAAAGAAUCUGGUAUCCAGACUAUAAAUCAGUGGCUGGAUCUGUUAGAACUGACAAAGUGUGACGGGACUCUUUGCAGACUGAUCGCCCCGCAAGUUAUUGAAGAUGAUUACAUCGUUGUCGAGGACUCCCGCGUACAGGCCUAUGCUUCACUACUUCCUCAUCACAGUAGGACCAUUUCCACAAUUACUGUUGAUAUUUCCAGCGACCCACAAGAUAUUCCUUGUUUAAGAAACCUUUUUGAUAUUAUAUCGGGAAGGCAAGAGGAAUUAUCACUUUACCUUAAACAUGAAUAUGAGCAUCCAAAGCUGGGAGGCAGUUGCAUGGAGGAUAAAUUUCAACAGCUCAGCAACUGUCAGCUACAAAGAUUUAAGGGGCAGUUAAGCUUAGCUUCAGUAAGGCAGCUGCCCAAAAGUCUGACGACCCUCAGAAUCUCGUUGGCAAAGAGUGAUCAUUACUUGGAUCUUCAACCUUUUCUCUCAGAGCUGGACAAGUACCUCCCAUGUCUUGAGGAAUUCCGCUUUCCUCAGGUUUGCACAUCCCCGCAAAAGCCGUGGACAAGGCGCUGCUUUCGCCUAUUCCCAAGAAAGGGACGUUGAAAUUGGCGCUAGUAUUCAGUACGGUGACCGAAGGAAUACUCGAAUGGGUUGCUCAAGUUGCCAGUGCAUUGCAACCGACAUCUAGCAUGUUCGAUGUCGUGCUCCUGUCCCAGGCGGGCGAGAUAGCGGCUUCCGCGAUAGAGAUGCUGGCGCGGGAGGGGGUGCGGAUGGCUCGCCUUGAGGUCACGCCAAGGAUGAACAAGGAGAAGCCGGUGCGGAGGUUGG
rnacentral:misc_RNA from 1 species